AUGAAACAGACUUCUAACCCCGGGAAAUGUCAUCAAUUGUGAAACAAAGGAUGAGGCUUGCCAGAUUCUCCAGACUCAGGAGACAGAGUUGGGCUGGCCGGGCCACGUGGUACCUCACCCCUCGCCUCCUGUGCUUGGUCGGGCUGUGACUGUCGCCUCUUUUAAUUGUCCUGUGAGUCGUGCCCAUUCCUGUCAACCAGGUGCACGGCAUCGCUUGCCCGGUUGUGUGACACCCAGGGCCACCCCAUGGAAGGACGUACCAGUGCUUUUCCAAAGAAACUUGCUAGAAAUAAUCACACCCCUAGGAUCCAGGUGGAGAACUGAUAAGACCUUGGGUAAGAACAGCUCUUGGGAGAGUGCAAAAGAAGGGACGAACUUGAAACACACUUGCUUGAGAGAGAACAAAGGGAACUUGUUAACUGACUGAACAUGGGGCAACCAUAAAGAAAAGAAUGGAAGAAGAGAGGUCAAGGGACUAUGUGGAGUAUCUGGGACAAAUUGCUGCUAUGGUUGGAAGAAAGUCAGACCAGAAAAGAGGAGAAGGCUUUGUGGCUGGUGUAGGCCCAAAUUCCACAUGCUCAAGUCAGGUGUGUCUAAGUAGAAGUCAGUACAGGUCAUCUUUGCAACUGUCUUUAAUCAAAAGGAGGCCCUCAGAAGCUAGGAGAGUCCUGGGGCUGAGGCACCACCUCAGUCUUUCAGCAUCUAAGGCUGGGCACCUGCCAGCAAAGAAGAUAAAGAAUGGUGCUUCUCAGACUCUGUCCUCAAUUUUCCUUGGCACUGCAGUCCCACUGGGACCUUGGUUACUGUCAGGAAGACACCUCACUGUGAAACACACAGGGUAUUCUGUGCCAGCUGUAGCAUCGAUCACAACAAGACUGCUCUGUGUGUGCUGGAAAAAUGUGUGUUUGCUUGCUAAGGUCAGGGAGAUAGAGAAAGUUUCUGAGUCCACUAGCGCUCAGCAGAUGCUUCACUUCUGGGAAGAGAGACUGAAAGGUCAGUUUAUGACAUCCUUGGGGGAUGCUGGCAGGGAACACGUGCCACGUCAGUGUCAUUUCUGA
rnacentral:lncRNA from 1 species